UGCUUUUUCCUGUAACAGGAUAGGGCGAGAGGCCUCUGCGAUGCAAGAUGCCAUCUUAAAGGACAAGUUAUCUGAAUAUUCCCGAUCCUGUUCACAUCGCUGGGUUGGCGAUGAUUCCUGAAGCCCCUGCAAAAACAGUUCCUUUGGUGGUUCCACCAGCUCUGGAAACCUCAUUGGCAACAAUGGCAGAGAUUUGAAAUAAGACGCAGUCGCCCCCGCAAAUGAUGUGGAAGAAGGAUGAGGAAAACCAGGUGCCGAGGAAGGCGACAAAGGAGGAUUAUUCAUAGACCCCGUCAUGUAACCUAUAGGAGGAGGGUACGGAAGAUUAUGCACCUUAAACGAUGCUCUCGGCCUCGGGAAGACAUGGAGACCAAUUUGAAAGCAAAGACCAAGAGACAUCUUAUCGAAUCCUUGAAACAGCAUCAAAUGUCCCUGAGGAUGCCUUUCUGAAUGCCACGUUGCUAUGUGAGAAGUAAGACUAUCAAUUGAUAUUGAAUAAAAACAAGUCUA